GUCCAGACUCCUACGGGAGGCAGCAGUGAGGAAUAUUGGUCAAUGGGCGAGAGCCUGAACCAGCCAAGUCGCGUGAAGGAUGACGGCCCUACGGGUUGUAAACUUCUUUUGUCAGGGAGCAAUUGGGUCCACGCGUGGGCUUAGCGAGAGUACCUGAAGAAAAAGCAUCGGCUAACUCCGUGCCAGCAGCCGCGGUAAUACGGAGGAUGCGAGCGUUAUCCGGAUUUAUUGGGUUUAAAGGGUGCGUAGGCGGACAGUCAAGUCAGCGGUAAAAAUGCGGUGCUCAACGCCGUACAGCCGUUGAAACUGGCAGUCUUGAGUGGGCGAGAAGUAUGCGGAAUGCGUGGUGUAGCGGUGAAAUGCAUAGAUAUCACGCAGAACUCCGAUUGCGAAGGCAGCAUACCGGCGCCCGACUGACGCUGAGGCACGAAAGCGUGGGUAUCGAACAGGAUUAGAUACCCCGGUACU
rnacentral:rRNA from 1 species